rnacentral:rRNA from 1 species
AUGUGCAAGCCUCCAAGGCCGCCAACUACAAGACUAUCGCGAACCAAGUCAGUGAAUGAUGCACCCGUGUUUGUGCCGCAAGGAGAUGCCCUGGUCCUUGAACCCAUACGAAGAUCAAAGUCUUAUCAUGGUGACGGGUUCUGCGAUGCACCAUCUUUUGACCUCGGCAUAGAUGGUCAUGCUCCAGCACCUGCUCCAGCAGUAGAAACAGCGGAAGGUGGUGUGAUUAGUAUUGAUGAGUGUGAAUUGGACCCAGCAGCUGUCAAUGAAGGAUGCGCUGCUGCUGAUGCUGGCAAGGCAAUAGCUCAAGAGCUAGAUGUUGGAUCACCAGAGAAUUGCCACACCCCGAUAUGCGUAGAACCAGAAGCUGGCAUGAGCACAUCUCAAAGGUCUCCAUUCAUUGACUACAACAAGAAGAAGUCUUUCAGCUCCAAUGAGGCAGUGAACAAGCUUUACGCUGCCCUCUUGUAUUGGGUCAGGCAUCAUGAAGGAGCAAAUGAUGAAGCUAGCAGCCCUAAGAUAAUCAGGUAUGGUGAUUUCUACAUUUCUUUAAAGGAGUUAGUUGAUUCGAUGAAGCCGGUUCAAUGGCUGUCAAAAAUUGUUAUUGAGACUGGAAUCUUACACAUCAUGGAGAGCUUACCAGAAGGGUCAAAGAAGGUUGUUAUGCCACUGAGGUUUUCGAUGAAUUUACAGCAAGGUAUCCACAACGUGAAUGAGAUAAACAAGAAGUUUGACUACAAGAACCGUCUCGACAAGAAGGACUUGUCAUGCUGCCAGUGCUCGAGUGUGCUGAUGUAA